rnacentral:rRNA from 1 species
UACGAGUGCCCCAAGCGUUAUCCGGAUUUACUGGGCGUAAAGGGCGCGUAGGCGGCGUGACAAGUCACUUGUGAAAUCUCCGGGCUUAACUCGGAACUGCCAAGUGAUACUGUCGUGCUAGAGUGCAGAAGGGGCAAUCGGAAUUCUUGGUGUAGCGGUGAAAUGCGUAGAUAUCAAGAGGAACACCUGAGGUGAAGACGGGUUGCUGGGCUGACACUGACGCUGAAGCGCGAAAGCUAGGGGAGCAAACGGG